rnacentral:rRNA from 1 species
UAGGGAAUCUUCCACAAUGGGCGCAAGCCUGAUGGAGCAACACCGCGUGAGUGAAGAAGGGUUUCGGCUCGUAAAGCUCUGUUGUUAAAGAAGAACACGUAUGAGAGUAACUGUUCAUACGUUGACGGUAUUUAACCAGAAAGUCACGGCUAACUACGUGCCAGCAGCCGCGGUAAUACGUAGGUGGCAAGCGUUAUCCGGAUUUAUUGGGCGUAAAGAGAGUGCAGGCGGUUUUCUAAGUCUGAUGUGAAAGCCUUCGGCUUAACCGGAGAAGUGCAUCGGAAACUGGAUAACUUGAGUGCAGAAGAGGGUAGUGGAACUCCAUGUGUAGCGGUGGAAUGCGUAGAUAUAUGGAAGAACACCAGUGGCGAAGGCGGCUACCUGGUCUGCAACUGACGCUGAGACUCGAAAGCAUGGGUAGCGAACAGGAUUAGAUACCCUGGUAGUCCAUGCCGUAAACGAUGAGUGCUAGGUGUUGGAGGGUUUCCGCCCUUCAGUGCCGGAGCUAACGCAUUAAGCACUCCGCCUGGGGGAGUACGACCGCAAGGUUGAAA